GAUGUCUGAUUAGCUAGUUGGUGAGGUAAAGGCUUACCAAGGCGACGAUCAGUAGCUGGUCUGAGAGGACGACCAGCCACACUGGGACUGAGACACGGCCCAGACUCCUACGGGAGGCAGCAGUGGGGAAUUUUGGACAAUGGGGGAAACCCUGAUCCAGCCAUGCCGCGUGAGUGAAGAAGGCCUUCGGGUUGUAAAGCUCUUUCAGCCGGAACGAAACGGUCACGGCUAAUACCUGUGACUACUGACGGUACCGGAAGAAGAAGCACCGGCUAACUACGUGCCAGCAGCCGCGGUAAUACGUAKGGUGCGAGCGUUAAUCGGAAUUACUGGGCGUAAAGCGUGCUCAAGCGGUUUUGUAAGUCAGAUGUGAAAUCCCCGGGCUYAACCUGGGAACU
rnacentral:rRNA from 1 species